GACGAACGCUGGCGGCGUGCUUAACACAUGCAAGUCGGACGGUUGGCACUGGAAGGUUCGCUGGAAGGUGCUGAUAGUGGCGGACGGGUGAGUAACGCGUGAGGACAUGUCUGCAGGAGGGGGAUAACGUUUGGAAACGGACGCUAAGACCCCGUAAGCCGGGAGGUGAAAGUGGCGAAAGCCAGCCUGUGGAGUGACUCGCGUCCUAUCAGCUAGUUGGCGGGGUGAAGGCCCACCAAGGCGAUGACGGGUAGCCGACCUGAGAGGGUGGCCGGCCACACUGGAACUGAGAUACGGUCCAGACUCCUACGGGAGGCAGCAGUGGGGAAUAUUGGGCAAUGGGCGGAAGCCUGACCCAGCGACGCCGCGUGGGGGAAGAAGUCUUUCGGGAUGUAAAAGCUCUGUCUGGAGGGACGAAGAAAGUGACGGUACCUCCGGAGGAAGCCACGGCUAACUACGUG
rnacentral:rRNA from 1 species